GCAUGAUCGCCAAAGUCAAUCGAGAGAGAGAGGGUGUCUGGUGUCUGGGACACCUUGUAGACCAACACCACAUGAGGCCCAUGAAUCCGCAGAAAACUGGACAGGUUUACGAGACUGAUACGUCGGUCUGUGGACCAUCGUUCUCAUUGGCUGUCUGACUUGAGGGCUGUUGCCAUGUGUGUUAAGCAGAGCCAUCUAAACACAGAGUUUGGCCAACUUGGUUUCACUGGGUCACAACAUGGCAUAUAUUCUUUUGUUCUGUGCUGCCCCAAAAAGCAGUAGGUCAAACUCUGUGUAUAGAGUGGCUUUGGUGUUCAGUAUUGUCAAGGCUUUAUGAUUUAAAAAGAGCUUCAACAGUUUCCUUAUCAGUAAAACAAACACCUGUACAAAAUCACACUUACAGAUUUGUUUCUUCAUCACAUUCACAUUUAAUGUUUUCAUGCCUUGCCUCACACUUAUAAAAUAGUACAAAAGAAAGAAAAAAAAAUCUCACACUGUCUCACUCAAAAAAA